GAACUCACUUAUCAACAGCCGGGAUGUGAAAUCCUCACUUCUGUAUUGUUUUGUCAUUAUAGUUCCCACUUUGCUGUUGUUUGUCUGUAUAAUCUCUGUCUGGUUCUGUGAUUGUUCCUGUCUGCUGUAUAAUUAAUUUUGCUGGGUGUAAACUAAUUAAGGUGGUGGGAUAUAAUUGGUUACAUAAUCAUGUUACAAUAUGUUAGGAUUGGUUAGUUAAAUUUCAGGAAAAUGAUUGGUUCAGGUAUAGCUAAGCAGAACUCAAGUUUUACUAUAUAAUCUGUAGUCAAUGAGGAAGUGACGGGGUGUGGGUGGGGGUGGGCAUGUGGGUGUGUGAGAUGGGAACAGGGAAUGGGGGUAAGAAAAUUGGAAUCAUGUUUUGCUAAAGGGGGAAAUGGGAACAGGGAAUGGGAGUAAGGAAGUUGGAAUCAUGCUUGGCUAAGGGUAGGAAUGGGAUCAGGGACACAGGUGUAAGGCUCUGUGGUGUCAGAGCUGGGAAGGAGGAUACUAAGGAAGGAAACUGGAAUCAUGCUUGCUGGAAGUUCACCCCAAUAAACAUCGAAUUGUUUGCACCUUUGGACUUCGGGUAUUGUUGCUCUCUGUUGAUGCGAGAAGGACCAGGGAAGUAAGUGGGUGAAGGAAUAAGCCCCCUAACAUCUUGGUGCCGGUGACUCGGAUGCAUCGCAUUGGAUAGGUGAGUGGCAGCCUGUAAGUCCCCCUCCCCAACAGUCCGCGCAGCUGCUUGGAGGGGGUCUCGCGAACUCUCGUGAUGGUAGUUGUGGGCUCUGGCAAGCCAGGGUAAAGGAUUUUUUGGAUAAAUGGAUAAGGGAGGACCAGGGCCCAUACCAGGUACAGGGGUCAACCUGGGAUAAGAUUAAAAAGGAAAUGGAGGAAGUGUUAGGGGACCCAGAGGUAUGGGGGGUGGCUGAGGAGCCCACCCUCCUUGGUAUAUGGGUAGGGGAAGAAGGUCCCUGCUCAUGGGGACUGAAUGCCUCCCAGGGAAAAGAGGCACUUCAGUCUGCUUGAGAGGUUUGAAGUAAGGGCAGCAUUAUGGGAAGCUGCCAGUAAUCUUUCAAGUUUGGUGCUGCUUCAGCAAGGGCUGCUGAAGGGUUGUAAAUUAGUUAGGGGUAGUGAAAGAUGAUUUGGCACAAAAGGGUUUAAGGUCAAAAGCAGAGUUAACAGACCACCUUUAGAGACUGGAUCUGAGACUUGGUCCUGGGGGAGUGGAGGAAGAAAAAAAAAAAAAGUUUCAAAGUGCAACCUGCCUUUCCACACUCUUUUGUUUUUCUGAAGUUUUAAUGGAGGGUACUUUGGAUACGUAUGUGAGAUGUCAAGAAGGAAGUUUUUGUUUAAUGAUAAAACCCAGGUAUAUAAAUGUCACUGUAUGUGCAACUCUGUGCAGUCACAUUGGGAUGGAAGUUGGUCAUUAAAUUUUCCAAGGGGGUCAGGUCGAGUGGCUACUAUCACCACUACGCUUCUGUCCCCAGAAGCCUUUAUAGCUAUUCUGAGGGAAAAUGGGCCCUUUUCCCACAGAAAUGGUCUAUAAGGGACUGCUGCAGGCAGCAGGCGGAGAGAGAAUCUGAGCAAAAUUAUUUGACUAUUGGGUAAUGUAAUCAAAAUCACUAAAGGAUGGAAGAGGUUUCUUUUGGAACUUAACUUGGCUGCCCCUAGUUGUGUCUAGUUGUACAAGAUGGAAGUGUAAUCGGGGUACAGUUGUGUAAAAAAGAGUAAUCACAGUGCAAGGGAUGUUAGGCAAAACAGAAUUUUGUGUGUGUGUGCACAGGUAAAAGAAAAGGAAAAGGGGAGGAAUGGUGGGAACACUGAGCCUUGGGAUGCUCUGGGGGAUCAGAUUGUUGCUUUGGUGGGUUCUGCAUGACAACUCUGUAGGCAUGGGGGAGGCAGUUAUACCUUGUGUAAAAUUAAUUUGGCUAAUAUGAUGUUAUGGAGGUUAAACUAUAUGGAAGGAAUUUGCAUUUUCCCAGGACAUGUGCAGUGUAUAUUGGAAAAGGAGUAAAAGAAAUGCAAAUAAAACAUGGUACUUCAUUAAAAUCCUAAUAGGGCUCCAAAAGGAGCCACAAUAGGUUGUGCUUUCUUUUUCAGAUCGCUGUGUUUUGGAGCAGGAGAUGAAAGUGGAAAGUGAUCAGAACUCUGGUGGAAGUAAAAUGCUUCCCUUUUAAGACAGUGUCUGAGCUGCUAACAGCUUUGGAUCCAAAAGCAAGCUAACACUCUACAAGCAAGCUGGCACCAGCGGGAAAAAUAACCCAGAAUACCAUGGAUCUAUGUUUUGUGUUGUUUGUCUGUGGUGUUUGUCUUGUUGCUAGCAUUGUUGUGUUUUAAUGAACAGAAAACCUCAUGAUGUGGGUGGGGGAUGGCUUCCAAAGGCUGGCCUUGAGGGGGAAGAUGUGUAUGGGAAUGCAAAUUCUCAACUAGGAGGCCAGCACCUGUGUAAUAGCUACCGUGGUACCUGGAAAUGGAAUGGCAACUAAGGUGGCCCCCACAAGCCCUAUGGAAAUAAUGAAAAGGGGAGGAGCUCACUGGGAAUUAAUGGAGGGGUGUGUAAAAUAGUGUAAAUCAAUAGAAGAUGUUUGGAUGUGCCCCUCUCCUAUGACUAUAGAGGAGCAGGAUCAAUGGCCUAUGCAAGGGGUGGACAAUUGGGUGUACUGUGUAUAAGGUGUUUUGCUGGGAAUGUACAUAUUACUGGGGGCACAAUUACACCAGCCCAUAACCAAACUACACCCAUCUACAUGCUGCUAUAUGGACUUUGGUGCACAAAUGGAUCUGUGAAUCUUAUUGCUGUGAAUAAGCCAGGGCUUACUGCCUGAUUCCAUACCAAGUGGUCAAGCUGGUUUGGACAAUAUCCCAUUUCUCUGUGAACAUUCAAUGAACUUGUGAUAUGGACAAAAGCAUACAAAACUUGCAGGAGCAGCUUGUUGCAACUGCCAGCAACUGGACACAAGAUCGUGACCCCAUCGAAGGAGGAGAGGCAGUAUUUUGGGGGUGUCUCGGAUGUUGGACCAUACUGCAGUGGUCAGGACUCGGUGUUGCUGUGGAUUUUGUAUUGUUAACUGUACUUGUGUUACGUUGCAUAGGGAGAUAACCUAUUAGGAAUGUAAUAAGCCCUCCAAACCCUGCAGUGUACUAGACAACCCGGACCCAACCUUCUCAGGCCCACUCUAAUGGGAAGUCUGGAACACUAAUUGGAAUAGGUGUGGUAUGCCCGUAUGAGAGAAGGUGCAGGGCACUAUACUACCCAAGGGGCAGUGGGACAAAUGGAAUAUCGACACCUUCCACCUUGAUGCCUGGCCCUAUCAGGAAAUGUGUCACCAUAUGUCCUAUGCUUUUCCAGGGAUACCUGGGCAGGAGGAUCCCAAAAGAAAAAGAAAAAAAAAGGGGUGGAGUGUUAGGAUAUAGAUAUUCAGGCCUGUCUGUAAAGGCCUAUACUCUAAGAAUUUAGGUGUAUUCUUAUCACUUGGCUAGUGAUAGAGGUAUAAAAGAAAGAAUCAAAAUCACUGUCUGCUGGUGUAAGGGCCUUCUCUUACUGUGACAGUCUGAGGCCCUGUUCUUAGGCUAAGGCCUUUGGCUAAGCAGCAGAGGCAGCCAUAAGCUGGGAAGCGACCAGUCACCUCCUCACAUUGCAAACUAGUCACAUUGAAAUAAGGUGCUAUUGGGCUGUUAGGCACUAUCAGGACAGGAUUGUAUUCCUAUCACCUCCAGAGAAAGGGAAGUGCCUAGAAAAUGUAAAAGGAAACUUAGUUUGAUAGCAUCCUGUCUGGCAAGAACUCACUUAUCAACAGCCGGGAUGUGAAAUCCUCACUUCUGUAUUGUUUUGUCAUUAUAGUUCCCACUUUGCUGUUGUUUGUCUGUAUAAUCUCUGUCUGGUUCUGUGAUUGUUCCUGUCUGCUGUAUAAUUAAUUUUGCUGGGUGUAAACUAAUUAAGGUGGUGGAAUAUAAUUGGUUAAAUAAUCAUGUUACAAUAUGUUAGGAUUGGUUAGUUAAAUUUCAGGAAAAUGAUUGGUUCAGGUAUAGCUAAGCAGAACUCAAGUUUUACUAUAUAGUCUGUAGUCAAUGAGGAAGUGACGGGGUGUGGGUGGGGGUGGGCAUGUGGGUGUGUGAGAUGGGAACAGGGAAUGGGGGUAAGAAAAUUGGAAUCAUGUUUUGCUAAAGGGGGAAAUGGGAACAGGGAAUGGGAGUAAGGAAGUUGGAAUCAUGCUUGGCUAAGGGCAGGAAUGGGAACAGGGACACAGGUGUAAGGCUCUGUGGUGUCAGAGCUGGGAAGGAGGAUACUAAGGAAGGAAACUGGAAUCAUGCUUGCUGGAAGUUCACCCCAAUAAACAUCGAAUUGUUUGCA